CAGGAACAUGAGGAUUGCUGCUGCUGACAGUUUGCUGUGGACUUUUAUUCAGUGGUCUUUGGAUGAAACCUAGAAAAAACAUAAAGUCACUCUGUUGGAUUUUCCUUUGAUACCUGGCUGGAUUACUAGAGAUGACCCAGAACAAGAGAUGGAAAAAUAAAUGUGAGUGACUCAAGCAACCAACAUCAGGUGUUAAUGAAUAAAUAUCCUUUAGCUAGCCACCCACCUUACAAGGAAAAAUCCUCCCCCAGAUGGAAUUUAAUACAGGGGACCAUUGUGUGAAGAGGCACUUCAGAGAGUGAUGAUAUAUUUCCUAAAACAAUUGAGGGAUAAUACAGAUAACGUGCAACUGAUUUUCAAAUGUCCAAAUCUGUUGUCACCAUUAGAGACACCAUUGAGGCUACAGCUGUGACACAAAAUGAGACAGAUACAUUUAUAUUUGUUAAUUUUCUAUCUUAAUGAGCUUGGGCUAAGUGUGUCAGGUGUGGAAAAAUCAACAUCGGCUCUUCAAGGAAAAAAAAGAUAAACCAACAAAUUAUAUUGGAAUCAGUGUAGCACCAUUGAAGUCAAUGGACCUGUGCCUAUUUAUUCCAGGUUUAUUUCUCUGAAAGGGAAGAACCACUGGAGAGAGAAAGCACAUUGAAUGUGCGGGACAAACCUAUUCUCAACAUGAGACGAUUUGGUGGAAAAUAUUUUUCUACGGGUUGCUGCCGAAUGACCAGUUUGCUGGAGGAUUUGACGCUGGCAUGUCACAAAAAAGGCACACGCUGACCAAGAUCAUAACCCCGUCUGUCUCUUGAGAGGAGCAGGCAGAGGGAGUUGUUAUCCUAGAC